rnacentral:lncRNA from 1 species
AGAAACAGCACAAUGAAAGAAGAAAUAAUGGAGACGAGGGAGAAAAUGCAUGACUGAGGGAUAGCACCCACAGAAGGCGAGUCAGACACAACUAGGUUCUCAAGCUACUAUUGUUGCAUCAGUCUCCUCUCUCCGUGCCUCUACAGUGUGUGAUGUCUUUCCACUCCAAUGCAACUUUCAAAGCCAAACCAUUUAUGAGAUGUUGUUCCAGAUGUGAUGCUGGGAACUGUGGCAACCGUGAGGGCACUAGUCUAAGGACCAAGCUGACACCCUGCGGAUGGAAGAACCUGGGUCCUCGUGCUGUGGUUAAGCCCUGAGUUAGCCAACCCUAGAACCUUCCCACCCUGGGACUUCUUGUUACAUGAGAUAGUAGAUGUUAUUAUUAUUUGAACCAUGCAAACCAGAGUUUUCUGCUGCUUGUUGUCCAUUGCAUCCUAACUGAUAUCACCUCAGGGCAUCUCAUGGCUCCUUCUCAUCAUAUAAGGGUCAGGACAAAUGUCCCCUCCUCAGAAAGUCCUUUUCCAGCCACCCUAAGGAAAUAACCUGCAAUGUCCCCCUCCUUGCAUUGGUUGCUGUUACUAGCGUGCAUAUCUGUAAUAAUCUUGCUAGGCAGGCUCCCUCACUUGAGUAUAAGUUCCCUGAGAUUAAGAGCAUUAAGAGCAUUCUGUCAC